UUUCUUUUCCUUAUUAACAGUCACCCCCAUCGUACCCUUCCCCUCUUUUUCUUUUUGGCAAAAAAAGUUUAAUUCCUCUUUCAGCCAUGGACAGAUCUGUCUACACCAUUUUCAUAUAAGUUGAUAUGUUUCUUAUUCCCUCUCUCCUAUUUCGAGCAAAGGGUACAAACUGGCAAAUAAUUAUCAAACCAAAUCUUCACUUGUUCAAGAAUUGUCAAGGCCGAAUCUCUGCAAAUCUGAAUCAAUAAGGAAAUUCGGUCAAUAUUUCUUCAGAAAAUCUGAACCAGAAAGCUACAUUUUUUAUUCCAAAGCCAACCCAUGACAUCUCUUCCUGUUUCCUUUUGAAAUUCAAAUGGCUAAACUUUCCCUUCAAAUCCCACUCAGAAACUGUAGCUAUAACUUGGGGAUGCACCUAUAAAUACCUCUCGAAAGUUUCAGCCGAGAUCGAUCUUGGAAUCCCUCUAAAAAAUAAAGUUUUAGUAUCUAAAAGAAUCUCCAAGCUAAGUUGUUCAUUUGAUAUGACUAUCAUAUCUGGAAGACCUUAGUGUUGUUUAAUCUUUCAAUGUCAGUUCAAUUCGAUUUAGUUAAAAGAGGAAUAGAUCUGAAGCAUCGCAAGCCCCAAGUUCACUGCCCCAUAAAAGGUAAAAUCCGACUUUUUGAUCAUGUUCUUCACUUAAAGGAAUUGUAUUUGCUUAAAAAAAGCAUGUCUUAAGUUUAUGUUUUAUCUGUUAUAGUGGAAUGCGCAUAGAAUAUUUUCUGAUACUGAGGUGAUGUGAAAAAUCCACACUUUAAGUCACGUUUGUAUCCAAAUUGGCUGUGUUAAAACUUUACUCACUAAACCAUGCUAUUUGCUAUUGUAUUCUCGAAUGUUUGAAGAAGUGAUGGUGUUCUAUACAAUAAAAAUAAUGUUCUUUAGAAUUUUAUGUCUGACAAACAUCCUACAUCAAAAUACUUUUGGAUUUUAUUCUUGACUAAUUUUUAUUUCUUUAUUUUUGAGUUUAAACAUUGUAGUAGAAAAGCAUAGUAUAACGAUUCGACCGGUCGUUUUAAACUUUUGCACUUUUAUCGUCAGUUCUCGGGCAUGAUUUGAUAUGUGGUGUAUUAUAACUUAUGUAAAUCGUUGGUUUUGGUUUCAUGUUAAUCAAAAUAAAUUUGAAGGAACAGUUUCAGCUGAAAGCUUGGAAUUUGGAAGGUUUGACCAAUAGUUAACUAAGCAUAUGAGCCCGAAUCGAAAUUUUUAUGAUAUGGUUAGCUUCGUAAGGUGAUUUAUGACUUAGGAUUAUGAUCGGAAUUAAUUUUGGAGGUCCGGUGUGAAAUUUGGCUUGAAUUGAUGAAGUUAGUAUUUUGGCGAAUUUCGGUUGGUAUGUGAGAUUUUGAUCCGAGAGUCGGAAUAGAAUUCCGAGAGUUUCAAUAGCUUAGUUAUGUCAUUUGGGAUGUGUGUGCAAUAUUUCAGAUCAUUCGGACGUUGUUUGGUAGAGUUUUAGAAGAACUUAGGCUUGAUUUGAUGUAAUUUGUUUGGUUUGGUGUUGUUUGAGGUGUUUUGAUGAUUGGAACAAGUUUAAAUGAUGUUUUAGGGUGUGUUGGUACUUUUGGUUGAGGUCCUGGGGAUCUCUGGGUGAUUUCGGGUGGCUAAACGGGAGGAUUUGGACUUUGAGUUAUUGCAAAAAUUGCAGCAGUUGUGUAGGGGUAUUUUGGUCAUCGCGAGCUUGGGGCCGCAAUCACAUAGAAGGAUUUUGGCAGGCUGGAGUUUUGUUCUACGUGUUCGCGAUAAGGGGUCUGUGAUCGCGGAAGGUGAAUUCUUGGUACUUUGCUUUCGCAGUAAGAAGUUCGCGAUCGCGUAAGAGGACCUAGGACCCAUCAUACUUGUCCAUUGCGUUCGCCGCAUUCGCGUAGAUUGAAAAGUCAAGGCAUCACGUUCGCAUCAGAAAGGUCGCGUUUGCAUAGCACAUUUUUGGAGGCUUGGGAAAUUGCUAUUCGAAAUCGCGUGCCUGGGGCCGCGAUUGCAUUGAAUAAAAAUUAGAGUUGGGCAGAAUAGUUUUUAAACAUUUCCUCCACGAGCUUAGUCAUAUUUUCCUCCAUUAUUAGGCAUUUUGAGAGCUGUUUGGGAAAAUUGAAGAGGGUUUCAAAGAAGAUUGAUUGGAGGUAAGUUCUAUAAACCAAAAACUGUUGGAAACACGUUCUCAAGGCAUUAUACUAAACGUGUGUUCAUAUUUGUAGGUUUUGAUGAAUGACAAACUAUGCACAAAUUGACACAUNNN
rnacentral:lncRNA from 1 species